CUCGGAUCAAGCUAACGUAAAAUCAGUCCAAACUCUGGUGCAAAGGGACGAAAACGAAGAAAAGCAGCAGGAGGAGAAGAAAGCCCUGUAAAGAGAUGCCCUCCAGAAACAUUUGCAGAGACACUCACCUCCUGAAGAAAGCUCAGCUGAUCCCCAGGUUCACCUUUCUCUGAACCUUCUGCAGGUGAAGAGACAUGUAGGAUCACACCUGGCACAGCAGCCA